rnacentral:lncRNA from 1 species
ACGGUUCAAUCUUAGCCGUUCAUUUUCUUUCUUACGGCCCGAUCUCCAUCCUCAUUUUGUCGUAUCUGCAGCAUUAACUAAGUCAUCUUAAUUACCACCGUCUAUUCAUCAUUAUAGCCGACCUUGGAACUCGCUUCGAUGCGACAGUUCGAUGCGACGGCCUUUUCUUCUUCCCCAAGCUUCUCAUUCUUAUUGUCUCUUCUAUCUCCUUCAUCUCUUUCAUCUCUUUUUGUUUUUCUCUGACAAAAUUUUCCUUCUCCUCUUUUGUCAUCUUCUUCAUCUUUCUUCGUUUCGAAGAAUGGCGCCUCUUCCGCCAUUGCCUACUCGUCCU